rnacentral:rRNA from 1 species
AUCGCCAGAUAGACUCAAGUGGGUGACGACUGGGGAAUCCCUGGUGUUGUAUGUUUUUG